ACAAAAGAUUGGCAAGAGAUGUUAGCCCAGGGCCAAUCUUAAAAAAAAAAAGACUGUUAUAACGUCAUUGGAGAUUUAUAAAUAAUUUUGAAGCUACUGCUAUCUAGGAUAUACCUGAAAUAACUUAUACCUCGUGAUGUGAGAUAAAUCAGAGUUGACUGGUUUCAUUCGAUAUGUAAGUCUAACACUAAGAGACCUUUUUGAUGUGAAUAAUCAGGGAAUAUAGCAAUUCCCAACUGAAGGGUAUACUUUCUGGAGACCCCUAUAAUGGUGAAAUAUUACAAGAAGGAAGAAUAGUCUAACGGGGUGACAGACAUGAUUGCUAACAAUUACAAUGCAACACAAUAAGUGGUAUAGUAGUAGGGUGAGCACAACUCUGGGUACACAAAGCAGGUGCAUUGAACUCAGCUCUGGGUGUUUGGGGCUGGGGGCAUGAGAGGAACAAUCAGGCUAAGUUUCCCUAAUUUAAUAACAGCCACCAUUUAGCGAGCGUGUUUUCUCAACAAACAGCUCAAGGGAGGAGCAAAGUGAGGCCCAGAGACGAACAGCACACAGCUAGAGCUCAGGUCCAGGCCCACUAGCGGUGCAUUCAGUGAUGGUGCCACCUCCUCUGGGUUUGGCCCUGAUAGAGCACUGCGGCAGCUCUCGUGAGUCAUUAAGUGACUCAUCUGUCAGAUUAAAUGAGGAAAACCAGUUCUGGUCUUGUGUUAUUAAUUAUUAGGCAACUCCUGUAACUAUGGUUCAUUGACUGAUUUUGUUUUUUCUUUUAGGAAACCAACCAGGUAUGAACAACUUCCUUCUAGAAAUCUUUCUUUGAGCUCAUUCAUAGGUUGAGCAAGAAAAUGUAUUAAUGCUAAAUGGUGGAUAACUGCCUAUGUCCUCACAAAUGUCCAUUGAAUGAUUGCAGUGACAGAAUUAUGUGUGUAGGUACCUGUCCAGUGUGUCUCUGACUUGGAAAUCUAAAAUUGUAUAGUCUGGAUUUUAAGCCUACUAGAAUUACUCCAGGUUUACUUCAUGAUACCCUUUCCUUUCCACUAAUAAUUUUGGAACAUUGUCCAUUUAUUUCCAUAUAAAAAUCUAUUUUUAAAAGAUAAUGUGAAGAUAGCCUAUCUGACUGUCUAUCAUUUGACUAUUGAUAAGAUAAUUUGCAUUUGAAAAACAAAAUCCUAGUUUCUUGAGAGGAAAAAGUGAGAAGCUGAGGCUACUACAUCCAAGAACUCAGAAGUGUUAGUUAUCUGCCUGCUGAUGUGCUCAUGUGGACAAAGACAAGAGGAUCAAACUAUACUGUUAGAUGUUCAGCACAUUUGAAUCACUAAAGCUACUUGUGCCUGCCAUGAUAUGCCGUCUAUGAAGUGAUGCUGCUUAUGUAGUAAUGUCUCUCACUCCAACAGAGACCCCUCUCAUGGAGGAGCAACAAGCCAAGGGGCUCCGCAGGAAUGAUUCCAGCUCUCAGUGAUGCAAUCUGUCUGGGAACGAGAGGAAGACCAUCUGUUGACCCUCAGAAUCAACGUGCUUUCCUGAACCUCUUUCCCUGUAGUUAGUGCCCCUGCUCUGUUUUCUGCAUACCUUGCCAAGCCCCCCAAUUUCUAGGGUCUAGAAAGCCUCCACUUUAUGGAGUAUGAGAUUCUCCAUCAUUCCCCUGGGGCCUAGGCUUGUUCCUGCUCAGCCCCCACUGGACAAUGGCUUUCUGGAGGAGAGGCCGAGGAUGGGACUUGGGACUUAUCUAGAAUACAGUCCUCUAAAUUCAGGCUGAAGGGGGACCCCCAAGAUGUCCUUCCUUCCCAGGUCAAACUUGAACUCAAUUAAAAUGGUGUGUAUGACUCUUCUGAAGGAAGGCUGGUCUUUCACCUGGCAUCCCCCUAGGCUCUUAAAAGCAGGGAAGAAUGAAGAGGAAGUGGGCCCCUUCCCUUCAUCACUGGUCACCGUUGAAUCCUUCCCACCCUGCCCCAGGCCUCAGCUGGAAUCC